AUCAUGUCGUCCUAUCUUACCAACCUCUCUGAUAUCAGCAGCGAGCCUCCUCUCUCGGUCUUUCUGGAAGCGACGUCGGACUCGAGACUCAGCUCCACUCACCAACGAGGAAUCUGGAUAGGGCGACAAGGGUUUUGUCCCGGCCAAGACGCAACCCAUCCCGCGGUCAUCAACAGCAUCUCCGAUCGCGCCAGACGUGGCCACUGCUUUCGUUUCUAGUUCACAUGUGCUCGCCCGCCACACGUUGGUUUGCGACUCUCAAAACUUACGUUCACCAUCUUGUCUCGUAUGCCUGCUGUGUAAAUGGUAAGCACUCCGCACACUCAGGUUGUUCGAUGAAAUGUGCCAACAAUAUUUUUUUUGCUCGUCUAGGACAUCAAAGUAGAUCUGUUGUCAGCCGUGCACCUAGGUUGUUCGACAAAAUGUCCCGACAUUUGUUUUGUCAUACCACCAUGCAUUACAUGUUGUCCUUAAAACAUAUACGCUACUACAGGAUAUUUAGACUUCGUUGGUGAUGACUACAUCAACUAACUUAUAUAUUUUCAUGCGUACAUUAACUGUUGUGCAUGUCUAACAAGACGUAUUAAUUGUAAUUUUAUAGCUCUCGCAUCCACUUGAACUACAUCGUGAUUGGUUCACAAUAUCCAAAACCUUCCGUGCGGUGAAUUGGCAGGCUUAGUAACCGGGAACCAGGAACUUGGCCACGUUCCUCGUUCCGGGAACGUUCGUUCCGUUCCGGGAAUGUGGGAACAAUCUCGUUCCAGUAGUGUUAAAUCCUAGAUUUUGUAGCGUACCGCGUACCACGUUCUCGUUCCUCGAUCCCAUCGAUCUGGGAAGCGUACCACGUUCCCGUUCCUCGAUCCCAUCGAUCUGGGAACCUGGUUACUAAGGGCAGGACGAACUUCAUCAUUACAGCCUCGGAUAAGUACGGAUCAAGUUAUAUGGUCAAAUGUGUAUUUUUCAUAUUCAUCUUUAAAUCGGCUCAUCUGAUUAUAUGUCACUCAUAUAUUCCUUUUGGUUUCUGAAUAAUAUAUCAACAAUUCACGUCGAACUGCGGCAUCUGUUUCCCGGCUCCUAAAAGCUCCCGGUUGAAGCGCUUCAUUUACUAGAUAAAUGUAAAGGCCAUGUUAUACAUAAUAUUUUUUUUUCUUCCUUCAUCAUUAGUAAUAUGGGUUUUGUUGUUAUAAAUAAUUGUAUGGUUCAUUUUGCUGUCAUACUGCUCAAAUGCCUGAUCGGUAAGGCCAUCCUACUUCUAAUUAUCUACCUAAGUUUUUAGUUUUUAUGCUUCGGUUUCAAUUUUACAGAGUAUGGAAAUACAGUAGCAAUUUGCUUUGUUAUCUCUGUUAAUUAACAGUGUCCACAAUAUAUUCUACUUCUUUACAACA